CAAGUCGAACGGUGAAGCGGGUGCUUGCACUCGUGGAUCAGUGGCGAACGGGUGAGUAACACGUGAGUAACCUGCCCUCCACUCUGGGAUAAGCGCUGGAAACGGCGUCUAAUACUGGAUAUGACCGACCCUCGCAUGGGGUGUUGGUGGAAAGAUUUAUCGGUGGUGGAUGGACUCGCGGCCUAUCAGCUUGUUGGUGGGGUAAUGGCCUACCAAGGCGACGACGGGUAGCCGGCCUGAGAGGGCGACCGGCCACACUGGGACUGAGACACGGCCCAAACUCCUACGGGAGGCAGCAGUGGGGAAUAUUGCACAAUGGGCGAAAGCCUGAUGCAGCGACGCCGCGUGAGGGAUGACGGCCUUCGGGUUGUAAACCUCUUUCAGCAGGGAAGAAGCUUUUGUGACGGUACCUGCAGAAGAAGCACCGGC
rnacentral:rRNA from 1 species